rnacentral:rRNA from 1 species
GACGAACGCUGGCGGCAUGCCUAAUCCAUGCAAGUCGAGCGAACAGAUGAAGUGCUUGCACUUCUGACGUUAGCGGCGAACGGGUGAGUCACACGUAUGGAAUCUAUCUGUAAGCGGGGGAUAACAUUCGAAAACGGGUGCUAAUACCGCAUAAUAUCCUAUUCCGCAUGGAAGAAGAUCGAAAGAAGCAUCUGCUGUCACUUAUAGAUAACCUUGCGAUGCAUUAGUUAGUUGGUGGGGUAACGGCAUACCAAGACGAUGUUGCAUAGCCGACCUGAGAGGGAGAUCCGCCACAUUGGGACUGAGACACAGCGCAAACUCCUACGGGAGGCAGCAGUAGGGAAUCUUCCGCAAAAGGCGAAAGCCUGACGGAGCAAUGCCGCGUGAGUGAAGAAGGCCUUCGGGUCGUAAAACUCUGUUAUAAGAGAAGAACAAAUUGUAGAAUAACUGCUACAGUCUUGACGGUAUCUUAUCAGAAAGCCACGGCUAACUACGUGCCAGCAGCCGCGGUAA